UACGUAGGGGGCAAGCGUUGUCCGGAAUCAUUGGGCGUAAAGAGCGUGUAGGCGGCCCGAUAAGUCCGCUGUGAAAGUCCAGGGCUCAACCCUGGGAUGCCGGUGGAUACUGUCGGGCUCGAGUCUGGAAGAGGAGUGUGGAAUUCCUGGUGUAGCGGUGAAAUGCGCAGAUAUCAGGAGGAACACCAAUGGCGAAGGCAGCACUCUGGGACGUGACUGACGCUGAGACGCGAAAGCGUGGGGAGCAAACAGG
rnacentral:rRNA from 1 species